rnacentral:rRNA from 1 species
UUACAAUGGAGAGUUUGAUCCUGGCUCAGGAUGAACGCUAGCGGCAGGCUUAAUACAUGCAAGUCGAACGGGAUUCGGGGUAGCAAUACUUUGAUGAGAGUGGCGCACGGGUGCGUAACGCGUAUGCAACCUACCUUUAACAGGGGAAUAGCCCCGAGAAAUCGGGAUUAAUACUCCGUAACAUUGCGGUGUGGCAUCACACUGCAAUUAAAGAUUUAUCGGUUAAAGAUGGGCAUGCGUGACAUUAGCUAGUUGGUGAGGUAACGGCUCACCAAGGCAACGAUGUCUAGGGGUCCUGAGAGGGUUAUCCCCCACACUGGUACUGAGACACGGACCAGACUCCUACGGGAGGCAGCAGUAAGGAAUAUUGGUCAAUGGGCGCAAGCCUGAACCAGCCAUGCCGCGUGCAGGAAGACGGCCCUAUGGGUUGUAAACUGCUUUUGUCAGGGAAUAAACCCCCGCUCGUGAGCGGGGCUGAAGGUACCUGAAGAAUAAGCAUCGGCUAACUCCGUGCCAGCAGCCGCGGUAAUACGGAGGAUGCAAGCGUUAUCCGGAUUCAUUGGGUUUAAAGGGUGCGCAGGCGGAUUGGUAAGUCAGGGGUGAAAUCCCACAGCUCAACUGUGGAACUGCCUUUGAUACUGUCAGUCUAGAGUAUAGUUGAAGUGGGCGGAAUGUGUCAUGUAGCGGUGAAAUGCUUAGAUAUGACACAGAACACCGAUCGCGAAGGCAGCUCGCUAAGCUAUAACUGACGCUCAUGCACGAAAGCGUGGGGAUCAAACAGGAUUAGAUACCCUGGUAGUCCACGCUGUAAACGAUGAUUACUCGAUGUUGGCGAUACACAGUCAGCGUCUGAGCGAAAGCAAUAAGUAAUCCACCUGGGGAGUACGAUCGCAAGAUUGAAACUCAAAGGAAUUGACGGGGGCCCGCACAAGCGGAGGAGCAUGUGGUUUAAUUCGAUGAUACGCGAGGAACCUUACCUGGGCUCGAACGUAAGAUGACUGUAGGUGAAAGCUUACAUCUCUUCGGAGCAUUUUACGAGGUGCUGCAUGGUUGUCGUCAGCUCGUGCCGUGAGGUGUCGGGUUAAGUCCCAUAACGAGCGCAACCCCUACCUUUAGUUGCCAUCAGGUAAUGCUGGGGACUCUAAAGGAACUGCCUACGCAAGUAGUGAGGAAGGCGGGGAUGACGUCAAAUCAGCACGGCCCUUACGUCCAGGGCUACACACGUGCUACAAUGGCCGGUACAGAGGGCAGCUACCUGGUGACAGGAUGCAAAUCUCCAAAGCCGGUCUCAGUUCGGAUCGGAGUCUGCAACCCGACUCCGUGAAGUUGGAUUCGCUAGUAAUCGCGCAUCAGCCAUGGCGCGGUGAAUACGUUCCCGGGCCUUGUACACACCGCCCGUCAAGCCAUGGAAGCUGGGGGGACCUAAAGUCGAUAACCGUAAGGAGUCGCCUAGGGUAAAACCAGUGACUGGGGCUAAGUCGUAACAAGGUAGCCGUACCGGAAGGUGUGGCUGGAAUACCUCCUUUCU